rnacentral:rRNA from 1 species
GUACACACCGCCCGUCGCUACUACCGAUUGAAUGGCUCAGUGAGGCCUUCGGACUGGCUCGGGGAGGUUGGCAACGACCACCCCAAGCCGGAAAGUUGGUCAAACUCGGUCAUUUAGAGGAAGUAAAAGUCGUAACAAGGUCUCCGUAGGUGAACCUGCGGAGGGAUCAUUA